rnacentral:rRNA from 1 species
UACGAAGGGGACUAGCGUUGUUCGGAAUCACUGGGCGUAAAGCGCACGUAGGCGGAUAUGUCAGUCAGGGGUGAAAGCCCGGAGCUCAACCCCGGAACUGCCUUUAAGACUGCAUCGCUUGAAUCCAGGAGAGGUGAGUGGAAUUCCGAGUGUAGAGGUGAAAUUCGUAGAUAUUCGGAAGAACACCAGUGGCGAAGGCGGCUCACUGGACUGGUAUUGACGCUGAUGUGCGAAAGCGUGGGGAGCAAACAGGG